AUCAGUGGCGAUUCUGUUAUUGUUGGUGUCCUUGUAAAUCUGCAUAUCUAAGAAAGUGGUUGAAGUAUGGGAAGAGGUUAACUUCAGGAUGGAGGUUGUCUGAUUGAGAGAGGCCCUCAGAUGUGAGGCCCCAUGCCAGCCGCUCGGUCAGGAUGUGACAAGCAAGUGAGAAUAAACAAUAUGGCUGCUCAGCAUAUGCCCCCAUUUUCUGAGGCUGGGAAUGACCUCAUCAUUGAAGCAUUAAGGCAAUAUCAUGUGGUCCUGAUGUCCAGGAGGUGGACCAGUAUCUUACAACGUGUGGCCCUAUGGGACAAAUUGGUACAAAAUGUAAAUGCCACUGGCCAUCAAAACCACAGCUAUGAGCAGGUGCAACAGAGUCACAGACAUGUUUCAUGCUGCAAGGAGGCAUGCUGCUGAAGUGGCACGUGAUUGUCAGGUCACUGGUGGUGGACCUGCAGCAGAACAACCCCUCACCACACUGAGGAAUUCCUGCCAAACAUUGCCACACAAGAAAGUUCCCAGCAGUCCAUCAACCAGUAUGCUCUGGACAUGAGUGCCACUCCUGCAUCUCAGGAGGAGC